CUUGGUCUCGGGGUAAGUGGACUUGAACCAAACUCUGAUUCGUUACUCCUGUGUACAAACUUUUAUAGUAAAAGGCGUAUUCUUCUCUUUAACAUAUUCAAAUAAAGCGUAUCUUUGCUCAACCAACCAGGAGCUGUCUCGGACCCUCUUAAAAGUUAGAAGCUCCCUGCAAUUUGUUUUCAAGAUCUAACACCAGUUG